rnacentral:rRNA from 1 species
ACAGGGAUUGCCCUAGUAACGGCGAGUGAAGCGGCAACAGCUCAAAUUUGAAAUCUGGCGUCUUCGGCGUCCGAGUUGUAAUUUGCAGAGGGCGCUUUGGCAUUGGCAGCGGUCCAAGUUCCUUGGAACAGGACGUCACAGAGGGUGAGAAUCCCGUACGUGGUCGCUAGCCUUUACCGUGUAAAGCCCCUUCGACGAGUCGAGUUGUUUGGGAAUGCAGCUCUAAAUGGGAGGUAAAUUUCUUCUAAAGCUAAAUACUGGCCAGAGACCGAUAGCGCACAAGUAGAGUGAUCGAAAGAUGAAAAGCACUUUGGAAAGAGAGUUAAAAAGCACGUGAAAUUGUUGAAAGGGAAGCGCUUGCAGCCAGACUUGCCUGUAGUUGCUCAUCCGGGUUUCUACCCGGUGCACUCUUCUAUAGGCAGGCCAGCAUCAGUUUGGGCGGUUGGAUAAAGGUCUCUGUCAUGUACCUCUCUUCGGGGAGAACUUAUAGGGGAGACGACAUGCAACCAGCCUGGACUGAGGUCCGCGCAUCUGCUAGGAUGCUGGCGUAAUGGCUGUAAGCGGCCCGUCUUGAAACACGGACCAAGGAGUCUAACAUCUAUGCGAGUGUUUGGGUGUCAAGCCCGAGCGCGUAAUGAAAGUGAACGGAGGUGGGAACCUUUCGGGGUGCACCAUCGACCGAUCCUGAUGUCUUCGGAUGGAUUUGAGUAAGAGCAUAGCUGUUGGGACCCGAAAGAUGGUGAACUAUGCUUGAAUAGGGUGAAGCCAGAGGAAACUCUGGUGGAGGCUCGCAGCGGUUCUGACGUGCAAAUCGAUCGUCAAAUUUGGGCAUAGGGGCGAAAGACUAAUCGAACUUGCUGUGCGG